AUUGAACGCUGGCGGCAGGCCUAACACAUGCAAGUCGAGCGGAUGACGGGAGCUUGCUCCUUGAUUCAGCGGCGGACGGGUGAGUAAUGCCUAGGAAUCUGCCUGGUAGUGGGGGACAACGUUUCGAAAGGAACGCUAAUACCGCAUACGUCCUACGGGAGAAAGCAGGGGACCUUCGGGCCUUGCGCUAUCAGAUGAGCCUAGGUCGGAUUAGCUUGUUGGUGAGGUAACGGCUCACCAAGGCGACGAUCCGUAACUGGUCUGAGAGGAUGAUCAGUCACACUGGAACUGAGACACGGUCCAGACUCCUACGGGAGGCAGCAGUGGGGAAUAUUGGACAAUGGGCGAAAGCCUGAUCCAGCCAUGCCGCGUGUGUGAAGAAGGUCUUCGGAUUGUAAAGCACUUUAAGUUGGGAGGAAGGGUUGUAGAUUAAUACUCUGCAAUUUUGACGUUUACCGACAGAAUAAGCACCGGCUAACUCUGUGCCAGC
rnacentral:rRNA from 1 species